GGAUCCAGACUUUGAUUCUGGCUCAGGAUGAACGCUAGCUACAGGCUUAACACAUGCAAGUCGAGGGGCAGCAUGAACUUAGCUUGCUAAGUUUGAUGGCGACCGGCGCACGGGUGAGUAACACGUAUCCAACCUUCCGUUUACUCAGGGAUAGCCUUUCGAAAGAAAGAUUAAUACCUGAUAGUAUGGUGAGAUUGCAUGAUAGCACCAUUAAAGAUUUAUUGGUAAACGAUGGGGAUGCGUUCCAUUAGGUAGUAGGCGGGGUAACGGCCCACCUAGCCGACGAUGGAUAGGGGUUCUGAGAGGAAGGUCCCCCACAUUGGAACUGAGACACGGUCCAAACUCCUACGGGAGGCAGCAGUGAGGAAUAUUGGUCAAUGGGCGAGAGCCUGAACCAGCCAAGUAGCGUGAAGGAUGAAGGUCCUACGGAUUGUAAACUUCUUUUAUACGGGAAUAAAGUAUCCUACGUGUAGGAUUUUGUAUGUACCGUAUGAAUAAGCAUCGGCUAACUCCGUGCCAGCAGCCGCGGUAAUACGGAG
rnacentral:rRNA from 1 species